rnacentral:rRNA from 1 species
UACAGAGGGUGCGAGCGUUGUCCGGAAUCACUGGGCGUAAAGGGCGCGUAGGCGGCUUGAUAAGCGUGCGGUGAAAGCCCGGGGCUCAACCCCGGGUCGGCCGUGCGAACUGUCGAGCUGGAGCACUGUAGAGGCAGGUGGAAUUCCGGGUGUAGCGGUGAAAUGCGUAGAGAUCGGGAGGAACAUCAGUGGCGAAGGCGGCCAUCUGGGACAACACUGACGCUGAGGCACGAAAGCGUGGGGAGCAAACAGG